rnacentral:lncRNA from 1 species
AGGGUAAUGCAGAAUCAUCAAGACAAGGUAAAUUGGACUUUCACAAAAACGGGGCUGGAAGGAGUGUUGCUCAACAAUAUCCAAAACCACAGAGGUUGAAAAGCACAAGGAAAGAAGCUGGACCCUGGACACGGUGACUCUGAUUCAAUUAUGCAGAUGACCACAAGCCUCUGGGGUUGGCAGAGCCACAAGAAAGAAGGUGCCUGGAUGAAGGAGAGCUACCCACUGACCUGGACACCCAAUUAUUCAUCUGUCUUAGAGCUAUUGGAAUCCUGGAUCAUUGUGGGAAAUGAAAAGAACUGGUUUUUAGCAAGGAGACCAAGAAACUCUACUCCCUAGGGGCUAGCAAUGAGAGAAAGGAAGCCUUGAGUCUUUGAGCACAGGGUGACAGUUUGGGUCCUAUGUGAGAUGAUCAAAUCCACAGCAACAGAGGAAAGGACAAAAGGAAAAGAUACUUCGAUGGAAUCAGCAGCCAUUGAUCCAAUGCCAACUCCAAGACUGGAACGUCGCAAUGAUAGUUCCAAGGCGGAAAUUUGACGUAAUUCUUUUCGACACAGUUUUACAGGUCUGGAUGCCCAUUUUAAUUCUUCUGAAAGCAUGCCUCCUUCUGGCUUCAGGACUCCAUCUCCAGCCUUAUGAUCUAAAAAUAAUCCCCAAACCAAAAAAUUAGAUAUUAUUUCCUCAAAAUUAGGUGUUUUAAUCAAAACAUCUUAACAUAAAUACAUUAUUAUCACCC